CAGACCAGACGCGUCGGGGGCGUGGCUUAUCGCUCCCGCUUCUUUAGGUGAAAAAUAGUUUUCUUUUUCUCCAUUCUUUUUUCGCCAUCGACCAUGGAAGGAAUUGCGUUAUACUUGUUGUGGAAAGCCGAAAAGCGUCGUAACAUCCAACGCCGUCGUGUUUGGGUUCACAACAUCAUCCGUAAAGGGUUAGGGUUAGCUCAGUCCACUAAAAAGUGGAAGUACUGGGGGCGGAGGGCCGUGGAAGUCAGGACCGCAGAGUACAGAGAAGAGGAAAGAGCAGAGGCAGCAGCAGGGCCAUCUCACAGGGCAGAUGAACCAGAUCCCUCGCUGGAUGACCUAGCUCCUCCUCCUUCUCUUCCUCCUCCACCUCCUCCAUCUCCUCCUCCUCCUGCUGCUGGUCCCUCUAGACCGCCCUCAGGAAGAAGAAGGGCCCAGAGAAGGCCGCAAAUCUUCGUGAGUGAGAGAGAGAGGGAGAUUGAGGAUCUGCUCCUCGUCACUCUCAGGAGAAGUGCCGCUCCUCCACCACCUCCACCUCCAUCGGCGAUAGAAUCAUUUUUUAGAACACUGGUUCCUUCCAUGGAGAGGAUGUCACCCCAGCGUUUGGAAUUUGUCAAAUUUGAAAUUCACAAAAUAGUUUUUGAGAACAGCCCUGUUGUGCUGAAUUUGGAACAUUUGGAAUAGACCUCUGGGGUACAAUCUCUCCAUGGAAGGAACCAGUGUUUCAAUUUUUUGUAAAUAGUUAGAUUUUGUAAAUGUUCUUAUUGUUAUUAUUGUAUAUAUUAUAUUAUUAUUAUAUAUAUUAUAAUUGUGUUCAAAUAAAUGUAUACAUUUAGUCAAUGUUA